rnacentral:piRNA from 2 species
UGUUGAUGAUGUUGUCCUCAGAAGCGC